AUGGCUAUGCUCCAGCGCCUCAGCAGCAUCAACCCCCUGCAUGGGAUCAAACGCAGCUCCACGCCGCCCUCAACAACUUCUCCUUGCAGCAGGGCGGCGGCGGCAGCGGCUCCAACUGGUUCUUUGACACAGGCGCGACUGCCCACAUGGCCAGCGAUCCCGGAUCGUCGUACCCGCGCGAUGAUUCUCCGAUGUAACAGCGACGACGAUCUCUAUCCGCAUGUCGCCAGCCAUCAAGCUCUUCUCGCCAGCACCACCGGUCUUUGGCACCAACGUCUUGGUCACCCCGGAGAUGAUGCUCUUUCUAGAACACUUUCUUCAUUUGAUUUUACUUGUAAUAAAUCACCCCCUACAACGUGUCAUGCUUGUAGAUUGGGGAAGCACGUUCGUCUACCUUUUAAACAAUCUGAUAGUCAAGCAAGUUUUCCUUUUGCUCUCGUUCAUUGUGAUGUUUGGACAUCUCCUAUCGUAAGUGUUUCGGGAUUUCAGUAUUAUCUUGUGAUGCUCGAUGACUACUGA
rnacentral:rRNA from 1 species